CGCGGGGUGGAGCAGCUCGGUAGCUCGCUGGGCUCAUAACCCAGAGGUCGCAGGUUCGAAUCCUGUCCCCGCUACC
rnacentral:tRNA from 1 species